GAUGAACGCUAGCGGCAGGCUUAACACAUGCAAGUCGUGGGGCAGCGCGAGGUAGCAAUACUUUGGCGGCGACCGGCAAACGGGUGCGGAACACGUACGCAACCUUCCUCAGAGCGGGGAAUAGCCUCUCGAAAGAGAGAUUAAUACCCCAUAGUAUCUCGGAUUCACAUGGAUCUGAGAUUAAAGCUCCGGCACUUUGAGAUGGGCGUGCGGCUGAUUAGGUAGUUGGUAGGGUAACGGCCUACCAAGCCAACGAUCAGUAGCUGAUGUGAGAGCACGAUCAGCCACACGGGCACUGAGACACGGGCCCGACUCCUACGGGAGGCAGCAGUGAGGAAUAUUGGUCAAUGGAGGCAACUCUGAACCAGCCAUGCCGACGUGAAGGAUGAAGGUCCUACUGGA
rnacentral:rRNA from 1 species